rnacentral:rRNA from 2 species
UACGAAGGGGGCUAGCGUUGCUCGGAAUUACUGGGCGUAAAGCGCACGUAGGCGGAUUGUUAAGUCGGGGGUGAAAUCCUGGAGCUCAACUCCAGAACUGCCUUCGAAACUGGCGAUCUUGAGUUCGGGAGAGGUGAGUGGAACUGCGAGUGUAGAGGUGAAAUUCGUAGAUAUUCGCAAGAACACCAGUGGCGAAGGCGGCUCACUGGCCCGAUACUGACGCUGAGGUGCGAAAGCGUGGGGAGCAAACAGG